rnacentral:rRNA from 1 species
GAUGAACGCUGGCGGCGUGCCUAAUACAUGCAAGUCGAGCGAACAGACGAGGAGCUUGCUCCUCUGACGUUAGCGGCGGACGGGUGAGUAACACGUGGAUAACCUACCUAUAAGACUGGGAUAACUUCGGGAAACCGGAGCUAAUACCGGAUAAUAUAUUGAACCGCAUGGUUCAAUAGUGAAAGACGGUUUUGCUGUCACUUAUAGAUGGAUCCGCGCCGCAUUAGCUAGUUGGUAAGGUAACGGCUUACCAAGGCAAUGAUGCGUAGCCGACCUGAGAGGGUGAUCGGCCACACUGGAACUGAGACACGGUCCAGACUCCAACGGGAGGCAGCAGUGGGGAAUCUUCCGCAAUGGGCGAAAGCCUGACGGAGCAACGCCGCGUGAGUGAUGAAGGUCUUCGGAUCGUAAAACUCUGUUAUUAGGGAAGAACAAAUGUGUAAGUAACUAUGCACGUCUUGACGGUACCUAAUCAGAAAGCCACGGCUACCUACGU